rnacentral:lncRNA from 1 species
CCGUCUUCUACUAAUGUCCUGUGUGACCAAAGUCCUCUCUCUCUUCUCUCUCUCUUUCUUCUCAUCGUAAUUGUUCUGUGUGACCAAAAGUCCUCUCCCUUUCUCUCUUCUUUCUAAUUGUUCCUGUGUACCAAAGUCCUCUCAUCUCUGUCUCUACUAUCUAAUUGUCCUGUGUGACCAGAAGUCCUCUCUCUAUCUCUGCAACUCUCUAAUAUGGUCGCUGUGUGACCAGCAAGUGCUCUCCUCUCUCCUUCUAUCUAAUUUUCCGCUGACCAGAAGUGCUCUCUCUCUCUCUCUUCUAUCAUAAUUGUCGCUGUGUGGACCAGAAGUCGGCUCUCUGUUCGUUCGAAUUGUCCUGUGUGACCAAAGUC